GUGAAAUACCUGAGGAAGAGACUAUCUUCCAUUGUUUACUACUAGUAAUUACUUACUAAUUACGAGAACGACAAGAGUUUCCUCUGCAUCACCUGGAAGUUUCCUUUGCAUUACUUGGGAACUUCAUCUGCACACCUUUAAAAUCCAAUUUCAGCGACUCUUCGCCUUCUCCAAAUCCUGCUGGUCUCUCUUGCUCCGCCUUGUAAAGUGCUUGCAUAACUACUCAACUUUACCAGGGAUCAAAAUUUCACCUGUAAAUUUAGUUGGGGUCUAUAGUACUCAGAGACUGAUUCUUUGUUUUGUACAAUAUAGUUAUGAGUAACCGGGGGAGUCUGCAAGAGAAUGGUGAAAGUAUGAAUCGGGAAACUGAGAAUGAAGACUCAGGGAAUGUUAAUGGACCAGUACAUGAAGCUGCUGAAUUGCAACAUUCCAAUAAUGAUAAUCAUGAGGGUGAAAGAAUAACUAAAAGGAUAAUUCUUAGACAUGUAUGGAAUUAUCUCUUCCUAUUCUCUUGUGUGAUUGCA